rnacentral:lncRNA from 1 species
CAGAUCAGAUAAUUCACUAUCAUAUUGUAUCUAUCAAAGUCCGGUUAGACGAAUAAAAAUUCGACCAUAAUGCGUUUUACGUUGCAUUUAAUUCAACCACUAGAAAUAAAAUAUAUUUAUACCUGAGAAAUACACUAAGAUCUGAAAAAAUACACUAAAAUCUGAGAAAUUUGGUGAGUUGGCCAUGGAUUCGUGCCAGAGAUGAAGGCGUCUGUGGAGGUAAUGACGAGGCUGAUCUGGAUUGAGGAAUUUGUGGCACUAAAUUGAAGAUUUUUCGUAGUAGGUGAGAGAAAAGAGAGUACAAAGAGAGGAAAAACAUAGUGAGACGACAUUGUUAUGGCGGGUUAGGCCGGCGGUAGUUCUUCAGUGAGAUUGUAACGCCGGAGAAAUAGAGAGUUUAAGGGAGAUGUGAGAGGCGGCUAGGUUACAUUACGAAGAUGAAAGGAGGAAGAGAGGAAA